rnacentral:rRNA from 1 species
GAUGAACGCUGGCGGCGUGCCUAAUACAUGCAAGUCGAGCGAACAGACGAGGAGCUUGCUCCUCUGACGUUAGCGGCGGACGGGUGAGUAACACGUGGAUAACCGACCUAUAAGACUGGGAUAACUUCGGGAAACCGGAGCUAAUACCGGAUAAUAUAGUGAACCGCAUGGUUCAAUAGUGAAAGACGGUUUUGCUGUCACUUAUAGAUGGAUCCGCGCCGCAUUAACUAGUUGGUAAGGUAACGGCUUACCAAGGCAACGAUGCGUAGCCGACCUGAGAGGGUGAUCGGCCACACUGGAACUGAGACACGGUCCAGACUCCUACGGGAGGCAGCAGUAGGGAAUCUUCCGCAAUGGGCGAAAGCCUGACGGAGCAACGCCGCGUGAGUGAUGAAGGUCUUCGGAUCGUAAAACUCUGUUAUUAGGGAAGAACAAAUGUGUAAGUAACUAUGCACGUCUUGACGGUACCUAAUCAGAAAGCCACGGCUAACUACGUG